GUAAACAUUAUUCUUCACACAAAUGUACAAAAAAAGUAGUAAAGUAUUUCUGCAUGUACUCCCAUUUGAUAAUUUCAUUGUGUCGCCAUGAACUGGAACUUGACUUUACGGCUGUGUUCACACCAGACUGACCUGGGAUUAACUAUGUUAUACAUUUAAUUAAAAUUUUGUUUUGCUCAUCAGUCUACAAUCAAUAACCUUCCAUCCCAAAGUAAAAAUAUAUUUUUUAGAAUUACUAUUAAAUUCUAAACUGAAAUCACUCAUCUACAACAAUAUUCACACCUUUGAUUCAUUAAUUUGAAAAAUAAAAUUAUCUUGCAUAGAGCUGCAACAGUUAAUCAAUUAGUCAUCGAUUACUAAAUUAAUUGCCAACUAUUUUGAUUCGAUUAGGUUCGUAGUUUUUAUUUAAAAAAAGGAAAAUACUCUCAUUUCAGCUUCUAAAAUGUAAAUAUUUUCUGGUUUCUUUGCUCCUCUAUGACAGUGAACUGAAUGUCUUUGGUGUGUGGCCAAAACAAAACGUCAUGUUGGGUUUUGGGAAACACGAUCAACAUUUUCACAAUGUAAUAACAUUUUAUGGUCCAAACAGCUAGUUGAUUUAUCGAGAAAAAAAUCAACAGAUUAAUCAAUUAUGAAAGUAAUCGUUCGUUGCAGCCCUAAACUUGCAGCACAACGCGAAAACAAAGUAAUUAAACAAACUAAACUAAAAUGAUCUCAACCAUCUUAAAUUUCUUCUAACAAUAUUAUUGAACUGAAAUUGAACCAUUGUUCCAUUGAGACAUUAUGCUCAUAUUCAGGUUCAUAACUUUAAUUUGGGUUAUGACUUGAAAAUGUUGACAUGCUCUGAUGUUCAGUGAACAGUUUCCUCCCAGUUUCCAUUCCUACAGCAUCUCUUUUCAGCGUCUGAAACUCUUCAAUCCAGGCUCCCCUCUCCAUAAGGCCCAGUCUACUCUGCUCGGCCAGUUGGAGCACUCUGUUGUGAUUGGUCAAUCUCUUCCAGCACCCAGUGUGAAAGGUGAGCCGACAAGCAGUGCCUGAUGAACAACCCUGCAGUGCUGUGCAUCCUCCAGGAUCCAACCCUGCGAUGAAUCGGAAAAAUUAUAUUUAUUAUGACUCUCCUUUGUCUUUUUGUAAAUCUCAGUCAGCCUCUCUGUGUGUAUUGGACGUGCCAGCGUCCUUGGAUACCUGUUGAAGGCGUUUGAUUUCAAUGUGCUUGAUCUUCUGAAGGAAACUGGCUUGUUUUUAGAAGACUGUGGGUCAUUUGAAAAUGAACCUGCAGCGACUUCCAAGUUA
rnacentral:lncRNA from 1 species